AUGUUUCUGUCUUGAGAAAGGAUAAGAAACUGUUUUGCUGCUGUUUGUUCGAAACCAACUUUGUUUAAAAUAGCUAAAAGGGGACGCAAGAAGGUAAAUCGGAGCAGGGAGCCGUGUGUAAAAAGUCACUCAAAAGGUGCACAGGGAAUAACUAAGAUCAAGAGAGUGGAGCCAUGAAUCUGAAUGACUUUGUGGUGAUUUCCAACAAGCCCAAGUCAGUCAAGCUCAAUGCCAGGAACCUGCGAGAGCUGCGCAUGGAGACAGUGACGCUGGCCCAGGAGAGUAAAGACAUGGAGGAUCGACUGCAACAACUCAGAGAGAGCAUGAGCCGGGAGAAAGAGGAGAGAGAGUGAGUAACAGAGAGAGAGAGAGAGAGAGCAUGAGCCGGGAGAAAGAGGAGAGAGAGUGAGUAACAGAGAGUGCAUGAGCCAGGAGAAAGAGGAGAGAGAGUGAGUAACAGAGAGAGAGAGAGAGAGAGCAUGAGCUGGGAGAAAGAGGAGAGAGAGUGAGUAACAGAGGGAGAAAGAGGAGAGAGAGUGAGUAACAGAGGGAGAAAGAGUAGAGAGAGUGAGUAACAGAGGGAGAAAGAGGAGAGAGAGUGAGUAACAGAGGGAGAAAGAGUAGAGAGAGUGAGUAACAGAGAGAGAGAGAGAGUGACUGAUAGUUAUGAGAAAGAAAGACAGAAAGCGAGAGACAGUGAUGGAGAACCUGUUAGAAGUGUAGAUA